GCUGGGCUGCGCUGGCACCUAGCUGGUCCCGGCCACCGGAGAAAGCGGCAGCGAGUUGGUGCCGUCGCCUGAGAGGACCCCGGCAGCCGUCGGGAGUCCCUGUACAGGACAGUGUUGUCUCCAGACCCAAGGAUAGGGUCUGCAGCACCAGCAGUUCGCACAUGGAUUUUCUACAGUUCUUCUUGCUGUGACCUUCUGGGCCACCAGGGAAACACAAUGGGGUCCUGCCAGCCUUGCGCGAUGAAUUGUCACUUGCCAGGACUCUCUCCAGGCUUCCUGAGACAUUGAGUUGCUGGUUGAGAUCCUGACUGCUUCUGAUUCCUCACUGUGCUGCUGGCAGGGUGGGAUUGAUGUCCAGUUUAGGACACUGGGCAGAGCCAAGCCCAUCACCAUCCUCUGUACCCUUGGCAGACUGGGGGACCAAGCUGGAUCCCUCUUUCUAAAGGGGCUCCACGUGAGCAAGGGCUGUCCAUAUUCAUUCUGGUGGGAAGAGCCACCUCCUUCACCCUUUCCACCUGGGAACCGUGUCACUGCUGGGGAUGGCACCACAUGGACGCAGAGCAAGAGCCAGCAGCCUGGCAGCAAGGCACUAGCUGAGCCUGAGCACCAUCACGGGGCAUAGAGCUACCUGGGGGGUGCCAGCAUCCCCACCACAGACACACUCCAGGGAUGUAGGUGCUGGGCGCAGGAGGAGUUCUGGCAGCAAUGGGCCGGCUGGAUGACCAUGCCAAGAGGAGGAUCGUGGAGCUGCGCAGGGCUGGGCUGAGCUUCCGCAAGAUCAAGAAGGUGCUGGAGCUGGAUGACAUCCGGGUGACGCCACAGGCCGUGUACCUCUUUCUCAAGAGGAAGAGUGUGGAACCAGGGUCAGCAGCAGCUGGCUGGGAUGGGGACCAGCCCUGGCCCCCACAGCAGGGGCAUGAGGCUGAGCCCCCCAGGCUGCUGGGCACCCGGCACCCUGCACUGCCCACUGGGGAUCCUAUGGGCAGCCGGGCACCCUGCUGUGCUGGCAGCCAGGACACCAAGGAAGGCAUCCAGAUUGUCAGUGUGGCCUCACUCUGCAAGGACACUGGGCAUCUUGGGGACACUUUGGCUAUGGAGCUGGCCCCUGCGAAUGGUGAUGAUAGCUCCACAGGCACAGCCCUGGCUUCAGGGACUGCUCUGGGGGGUCUUGCCCCCCUGCCCCAGCCACUGUCCAGCCAAGCGCAGCUGGUAACACCCUCGACCCAGAACUCAGCCCUGAUGGUGAAAAAGAAGACAGUGAACAGGGCUAUCCUCCUGCAGAAAAAGGUCAAAGAUGUCAGUACUCAGACUGCCUUGCCAAACUCUGUGGGUCCAGGAAAUCACAGCCUUGCUUGGGGUGGACCAGUGCCCCCCACUGCUCCCAGCUGCCCUGCCAUUGCUGAGAAGCUGGAUGCUGUACAGAUGGAGGUGCAGAAGCUGAGCCAGGCCCUGCAUGCAGUGCUGGAGCGGCAGUGCUGCCUGGAACGCCAGCAGGAGCACCAGCAGCGGCUGCAGCAGGAGGUGCUGAUGACACUGCAGCAGCUCAGCUCCACCAUGAGCCACGGCGCUGUGCCAGCCACCCAGCCCUGCGGCCCCUUCAGCAGCAUGGCUGAGCCCUCACCCACGAUGGCAAACUUCAGCCAGUUCAAGAUGGAGCUGAUAUGAGCUCCCGCAAGGCCUGUGUGUGCCAGCAGUGCUGUGCUAAGGAAGCCGGGAGGAAGAACCAUCUCUCAGAGGCUGCUCAAGGAUUACAUGCAGCAGCCAGCAGAUAAGGUCCCUGGUACCUCAUGUUCCCAGACCUGCUGACUGGAAGGCGCUGCCUGGCACAAGAGGCUGGACAGUGGAAGGCUGAGGCUUUGCUCCUCCUGUGCUGCUGAUCCUGGCUGGCACUGAAGCUGGCUGGGACCCAUGGACCUCAGCAGAAGGCAGUUGCCUGUAAGGAGAAGAUGAAGCUAAUGUGGACCCAGCAGGGAGGUGGGACUCCAAGGAUACAGGAGGCUUCCUUCUCGUGAGGAUCAAUGCCAUGAUGAUCAAUCUUGCCCUCGCCUCCAAAGAACCUUGUUCAGUAAAAAUCUGUCUACACCACGGUUCGGAACCAGUGUGUGAUCAGUAUCCACAUAUUCCCUACCCCUCACCUGGCCUGUGAGCAGGCUGGAUCUGUCUGGGUCACUAUCACCAUGCACAGAACUGCACAGGGUGCAGAAACUCAUGAGGUGAGACCAGCACUCCACACACGAUGUUGUUGGAGCUUGGUAUCAGGUGCUGCACCAUUAGGAAUAGAUCAGACUUGUAGGAAACAAUCUUUACUGAGGAGAUUCCAUCCUCCUCACCCCACAGACCCAGCAGAUCUGGAGUCUGGUACUGGUGCUGCCCACUGUCUUGGCAAGAUAUGGGCAGGACCAGGACCAUACCAGUAAGAGUUGUACCUUGGCAGGAGCUGAUUAACUGGGUGUUCAGCUCUCUAACUAAUUUCCCUGGGCAGGAUACCCUCUGUUGUGAUCCCAGUAGCAAGGGCUCUCUCUAGAGCAGAGCUGCUCUAGCAGAGCAGACCAAAAGGGCACAGGGGAGGCUGGAGUCCAGAAGGACCAGAGACUGGCCUUGUCUAUCAGGAGGAAAGGUCUGAUGGCAGUGGCCUUGGCUCAGCACCCAGUAGUGAAUCCUGAGAGGAGGCAGAGUAUGUGUUCUUCCUCUGCAUCAGCCAAGCAGGCUUUUGUCUGCACGGGCACCACGCUUGGCACAACCUGUGCCUUUGAGAAUUUCCCAGCCUUUUUCUCAGGUCUCUUUGAGUCCAAGGUCAAAAUUAAGAAAAGUAAUAACCAAUUGAAGUGUUUGUACACAGACACACAUAUAGAGAUGUACACGUAUGCACAGAUGUAGAUGCAUGGGGCAGGUCUGUGCAGCAGCCCCAGUGUUUGAGGGAGCAGGACACCCACUCUGCUCCCCCAAGACACAUUGCUGGCUCCAGGGCUGUGCCCAAGAGAACUAGAAAUCUGCUGCCAUCUGCCUGCAGUCAUUCAUUUCGAUGUUGGUGUAAUUUUGGGGACAUCUGAAAAGCAACAGAUGAAGAAAAACACAUUAUCAGUUGCUCUGCUCUUUUGCACAAGGCAGCUAAUCUGCACCUCAGGUUUGAAAAGAAGAGGCUGGAGGACCAGCACUCAGCAGUCACAGUUUCCUAAUGUCUGUUAAAGUUUCAGAGAAAAACAGGAGCAGAACAGCUGCUAUUCCCUGGCACAUGUACAUAAAACCAUGCUGGUUUCUGAAAGAGCUUCCCUAAAUCUGACUUGGGCUAUUUCUUAAAUUAUUUAAAAAAAAUAAAUGUAUCUACCAAUAUAUAUACUGGGUUUUCUAUUCCCCAAAUGUAUUCUAAGAACUUUCCUCAUUUCUAACUCUUGCACAUCAGCCCUUUAUCCAGUGCUAAAAAAAACCCAGCAAAACUUAAUAAAAAUAAAUCACCUGGGCUUGUUAAAUAACCAUCCACUGUAACAUUUAUUUCAGACAGAUGUACAGCCUGAGUGUUCAGCUGCUGUUUGCCUCCUGACCACAUUAGGGAACACCAAGUUAUUAUUUAAUGUGGUGUCAUGUUAUAAUGUGGAAGGUGUUUCCCACCCAGGUAAUCCUAAGGUGUUUGUCAAUUCCAUCCUGCUCCAAGGAAGAGCUCUUCCCUGUGGCCACAGCAUCAUCUGUUGUGUGCCACAUGCCUUCAGCUUUCUACUCUCCCACC
ensembl:lncRNA